rnacentral:rRNA from 1 species
AAUGAACGCUGGUGGCAGACCUAACACAUGCAAGUCGAACGGUCUAUAUUAAACUUCGGUUUUUUAUAGAUAGUGGCAAACGGGUGAGUAAAGCAUGGGAAUCUACCUAGAAGUUUGGAAUAGCUAUUAGAAAUGAUAGAUAAUACCAAAUACACCUCGAGAGGGAAAGUUAGACUCGGUCUUCGCUUUAGUAUGAGCCCACUGUUAAAUUAAGUUAGUUGGUAGGGUAAGUAGGCCGUACCAAGAAUGAUGAUUUAUUAGCUGGUCUUAGUAGGAUGAUCAGCCACACUGGAAUUGAGAUACGGUCCAGACUCCUACGGGAGGCAGCAGUGGGAAAUUGGACAAUGGGCGCAAGCCUGAUCCAGUCAUGCCACGUGAGUGAUGAAGGUCUUAGGAUUGUAAAACUCUUUUAGCAGGGAAAAAAAUGAUGGUACCUGCAGAAAAAGUCUCGGCUAACUUCGUGCCAGCGCCG